rnacentral:rRNA from 1 species
AUUGAACGCUGGCGGCAGGCCUAACACAUGCAAGUCGAGCGGUAGCACAGAGAGCUUGCUCUCGGGUGACGAGCGGCGGACGGGUGAGUAAUGUCUGGGAAACUGCCUGAUGGAGGGGGAUAACUACUGGAAACGGUAGCUAAUACCGCAUAACGUCGCAAGACCAAAGUGGGGGACCUUCGGGCCUCAUGCCAUCAGAUGUGCCCAGAUGGGAUUAGCUGGUAGGUGGGGUAACGGCACACCUAGGCGACGAUCCCUAGCUGGUCUGAGAGGAUGACCAGCCACACUGGAACUGAGACACGGUCCAGACUCCUACGGGAGGCAGCAGUGGGGAAUAUUGCACAAUGGGCGCAAGCCUGAUGCAGCCAUGCCGCGUGUGUGAAGAAGGCCUUCGGGUUGUAAAGCACUUUCAGCGGGGAGGAAGGCGGUGAGGUUAAUAACCUCACCGAUUGACGUUACCCGCAGAAGAAGCACCGGCUAACUCCGUGCCAGCAGCCGCAGUAAAAC